UCCGAGCCACUCCCCGAUCUGAGUGCUGCAGCCAGGAGGCUUCAGGUUGAAUCCAGCUGAGCUCUGCUGGCCUGCAGGGCGGAGAAACAAACGCUGCUGUGAAGUUUGACCCUCUGUACGACCCGUAGACGUGACGAAACACGGCUGAGCUCGUUUAAAUUCCAUUAAUGUUUGAGGAAAAUCAACAACGAAGGUGAUCAGUUUUCUUACUUGAUGCUCUGGGAAGUUUGCUGACCUUUUCCUCAUAUUAGUCUCUUUUGGAAAUGAUUCAGUCUGAGAUGUUCAGAAUAAUAAUCAAGCCAGAAGUGGCAGCUGAGGGAACAGAGCAGUGGACCUGCUGCAGGGCUGCAUGCAGACAGCCGGGGAUCAAGACCCGCUCAGUCUAAAGGGAGAGUGUGAAGUUCCACAUGUUGUGAAGAAAACCCAGCGGAACACGUGAAUCAUCAGCUGAUCCAACAGAAUCCACUCGUCUGCUUCAUCGUUCCAUCAAGUUUAAUAGAACCACAUGUUGGCAGGUGACACUGUGCACCUUUAACACCCACCACAUUAAAGGAACAGUUCACCCAGAAGUCAAAUCCAGUCAGGUGAAGUGUCGGCAGCCCACCAAACGUUUCUGGAUCUCCUCCUGAACAUGUGACCGCAGCGGUUCUGUCCGAGGCCGUGGAAGCCCCGAUAUCCCAAACUGAUGUGACAAGUUGUUGACGUCCUUUUUAAACUGCUAAAAUCACAUCUUUUCAAGGAAACAAAUGUGUGUCUGAUGCUCAUUAAUAUCACUUUGUGACAUAAAGAGUGUUUAUCUCAGUCUGACAGAGUUCAGGCUGCAGUUCCUGCAAAUCUCCACCAGAUGGCAGCAAAGUCCAGAAGGUGAAAUAUGAACUGAACGAUAGAAAAUCCUGACCAAUCACUACAGCUCAUAGAAACACAGUCAGACUGUGAAGUAGAGAUGAGGUCAAACCAAACAUGAUGAUUUGAACACUAUGUUAAAGCCAGUCCAUGCAGGAAUAUGUAGAAGUGUCUGAUCAUAUUAUAGAGAUCAAUAAUGGACGACAGGAUUUAUGUUUGAUGGACUGUCAUUGUUUUGUGUGUCAUUGUGUGACAAUGAUCCGAUAUUGAUGGUUUCAGUUUGAAGCUUUUCUCUCGUCCUCCUGUUAGCUCAGCAGGAGAAACCAGGGCUGGAAAUUUUGAGGUCGUGGGUUCGAUUCUUGAUUGAAAUUUGAGGGUCGACAUUCAAAACAGUGAAAUGUGACAGAAACAAAGAGCAUCAGUCAGAUCCAGUAGCUCAGGCUGAUAGAGGUCUGGUCAGCAGGUCUGAGGUUGUGGGUUCGAUCCUUGGGCAGGUGCGGUGAUUUUUAAACCUGGUGUCCAGAACAAAGAGUGAAAUGCUGUCAGAAUCAGAACUGUAUGUCCAGCUCAUUAGCUCAGGAAGAUAAAGUAAUGCAGUAAAGUCUGCAGGUUGUGGGUUCAAACCCUGACUGAGUGUUGAAGGCUGGUCUCUGAUCAGCUGCUCAGGUGGACACUAUACAGCUCACAGUUUGAUCUCAGGACACUCACUGACUUUUGGGGUCCAGCACUGAUGAAUGAAAACUUGACAGCGCUCAGAGAAGAGAUGUGUCCAAUAAAAGCUCCGGACUCAGAAGGAGUGAAAACCUCUGAGAGACUUUUAAUUCUUUGACUAAAUGAAGAACAUCUGUCAUCAGCAGCUCCAGUCCCCUCGUGGCCCUCGGUCUUCCUCUGUGGGGAUUCAACUGAUUCAGCGAAAGAGUCUUCAGGUAGCUGUCCAGGUAGCUCAGUGGGUUGGAGGGAUGUUGUGGAGUUCUGAGAUUCUGAGUUCGACCCUUGAUUGUUGUUGAGUUUUGAAACCUUCAAAUCAAAGAGUGAAAAGCUCCUGAAUCUUUAUAAACCUGCAGUUACUGAGACUUUCCUCAGAUUAAAACGCUUUGUGUGAAAACAACCUGCUCUGCUGCAUUUUAACAACACGCUGCUUGUGUGUCAAUGUCGUUUUGUCAAUAAAGCUCGUUUGAAUCCAGGUGAGGCCGUUUGCCCAAUCAGAGGUUGAGACGUCACACUUCCGGUCUGUCUCGUAUGGCCCCAGUCAGCCAGCAGCUCUCUGUUUGUCCACCGACAUGCUGACGGUCGGACGCUUCGUGUGAGCAGCAGAUAACUAAAAUUCCCUCUAUGGCUUCUGGAGCGAGUCCGAGAGCGACGGACACAGCCGGCAGCGACUUCCAGCACCGGGUCGCUUCACCCGACCAGAUGAGGUCCGUUCUUUUUGCUGUUCCAGUCUCAACCCUCAGAGGGAAGUGAGACUCUGAGAAACAUCAGAUCCACCUGCCUCAUAGGUCUGCAGAUGAUCAUUUUUGCUACUUUUUAGAAGUGAAGUGUUUUGUGCUUAGGUACUAGCACUGGAUGCUAAAGCUGUCUGAUAUCAUGAAAUAAAAACACCAUGUUUGA